GACAGAGGAUGCAAGCGUUAUCCGGAAUGAUUGGGCGUAAAGCGUCUGUAGGUGGUUUAAAAAGUCCACUGUUAAAAAUUGAAGCUUAACUUCAAAGAUGCCGUGGAAACUUUUAAACUUGAGUAUGAUAGGGGUAGAGGGAAUUUCCAGUGGAGCGGUGAAAUGCGUAGAUAUUGGAAAGACCACCAAUGGCGAAGGCACUCUACUGGGCCAUUACUGACACUGAGAGACGAAAGCUAGGGGAGCGAAUGGG
rnacentral:rRNA from 1 species